rnacentral:rRNA from 1 species
UACGGAGGAUCCAAGCGUUAUCCGGAUUUAUUGGGUUUAAAGGGUGCGUAGGUGGCCUGUUAAGUCAGGGGUGAAAGCCCGGAGCUCAACUCCGGAAUUGCCAUUGAAACUGUUUGGCUCGAGUACGAGAGAGGUGAGUGGAAUUCCCAGUGUAGAGGUGAAAUUCGUAGAUAUUGGGAAGAACACCGGUGGCGAAGGCGGCUCACUGGCUCGUAACUGACGCUCAUGCACGACAGCGUGGGGAUCAAACAGG